rnacentral:rRNA from 1 species
CCCUUAGAUGUUCUGGGCCGCACGCGCGCUACACUGACGAAGUCAGCGAGCAUGUCCUACGCCGACAGGUGCGGGGAAUCUUGUCAAACUUCGUCGUGAUGGGGAUUGAUUAUUGAAAUUCUUGAUCAUCAACGAGGAAUUCCUAGUAAGCGCAAGUCAGCAGCUUGCGUUGAUUACGUCCCUGCCCUUUGUACACACCGCCCGUCGCUACUACCGAUUGAAUGGUUUAGUGAGAUCUUCGGAUUGGCGCCACUGCGGCUCAGCAAUGGGCUCGGUGGAUGCCGAAAAGUUGAUCAAACUUGAUCAUUUAGGGGAAGUAAAAGUCGUAACA